AGAGCGAACGCUGGCGGCAGGCCUAACACAUGCAAGUCGAGCGCCCGUAGCAAUACGGGAGCGGCAGACGGGAUAGUAACACGUGGGAACGCGCCCUUCGGUUCGGAAUAACUCAGGGAAACUUGAGCUAAUACCGAAUACGCCCUUACGGGGAAAGAUUUAUUGCCGAAGGAACGGCCCGCGUCCGAUUAGCUAGUUGGUGAGGUAAUGGCUCACCAAGGCUACGAUCGGUAGCUGGUCUGAGAGGAUGACCAGCAUCACUGGGACUGAGACACGGCCCAGACUCCUACGGGAGGCAGCAGUGGGGAAUAUUGGACAAUGGGCGCAAGCCUGAUCCAGCCAUGCCGCGUGGAUGAUGAAGGCCUUAGGGUUGUAAAGUCCUUUUAACGGGAAGUAUAAUGACGGUACCCGUAGAAUAAGCCCGGACUAACUUCGCGCCAGCAGCCGC
rnacentral:rRNA from 1 species